UAGGACAAUGGGGUUCACUGCAUGCGUUCGUUCGAUGGUAGAGUGACUCAUUUUUCUGCAGGCUAGGGGUUUUCAAGAGUGCUUUCAUUGGUAACUGUGGCCAUGGAGAACAUCGGUCUCAUAUUGUGUAGUGUUUUUUGUAUCUUGGGAAGCAUGUUGAAUCCCAGUCAUUGGGUGUGUUGAUAUGAUUACUUUGUAUUUCCUUUUAGUUUAGCUUGAUAUUUUCAAGGUCUUAUUUAAUUAGCACUCAAGUGCAAGAUUAUUGGAACUAGAGUAAAUGCUGACUAUGAAGUAAAUAUUUUGUCAUAAAAUGUGGGGGGGUAUUUUUCCCAGUCAUAUGGCAAUUGUAAGUCUCAUUCCACCUUGUGCCUCAGCAUGUUCCUAAAUUACAGAAUCACAAUUUAGGUAUAUGAGAGUCCAUUGUUUUAACGUAUUUAACAAAACUGACUUUUUUAAAAAUUCCCAAAGUAGUCUUUAAGAUGCGUUUUUAGGAUGUACUGAAAGGAAUGGUCCUCAAUUUCAUGCACUUGAGUCAUUUGUAGGACCAUAACACUGUAAACAGUUUUGAUUGAGGACUGUUACACUCUU